rnacentral:misc_RNA from 1 species
UCUCCGUAGGUGAACCUGCGGAGGGAUCAUUACUGAGUGAGGGUCUCCGGGCCCGACCUCCAACCCUUUUGUGAACCACCUCGUUGCUUCGGGGGCGACCCUGCCGUUCGCGGCGUGGGGCCCCCGGAGCCCAUCAAACCCUGCGUAACUAAGUCGUCGGAGUUUAAACAAAUUAAACAAAACUUUCAACAACGGAUCUCUUGGUUCGGGCAUCGAUGAAGAACGCAGC